rnacentral:lncRNA from 1 species
UCGAAGACAACGAUCUGUGCAGUCAAAACAAAUCACUGCGGUGUCUUCCCGCAUCCUAUGCAUGUUGUGUGCCACGAUUCAUUAUCGGGUUGAAGGACAGUAUCGAUGACGUAACAACGGCUGGUGUAUCCCUGUGUUGAGCUUUGAGGUACAAGGCGCCUCACCACACGCAGACAUGAAACUAGGAAAGCGGUAAGUGCCGCGAUACGUCCAUUUGCAUGUUCAGGGUAGGGUUCAGGUGACGGUGCGAAACCGGGAAGGUAGGGUAACCGUGAGGAUUACCGUAAGCAACCUGCCAUAAGUCCUAGCUGCUAAAGUCCAAGUACUUGAUGGAGGUCUUUGGGGAAGCUGGCUAAGAUUUGGAGAGUCACACUCCCGGACUGAUGAUGUUACCUUCUCCAUACCGAAGUGUGCCCGGAAAAUGUUCGAAACACCACCACUGCACAUGCACCAAAUCCCCCUCACAACCCCUCCUCCGCUCUCCUCCCUCCCCAAAUGCUUGGUUGGGGUCAAUGCGCCAUGCCAGCAAUGGUGCUCGUGCAUGCGCUGUGCAGUGCAUAGCCACUGCAAAUGAAUACUCUUCAUGAACACUAAAAUGUUAUUCUGUGUGUGUGUGUGUUACAUGGUUGGGGGUGCGUGACCCCAUACCUGUAAAACUACCCAUACGAGCCAAGGGCAAUAUCUAUACGCCUACAAGCCACGGAGAACAGGAAACACCGCGCAUCAGCCCAGACUAGCAUCCAAAGGGGGUAAUUGAGUUUCGGUGAGCCCACAUACAUUCCAACAUCCUCGCCAUAUGUACUGGUUCCCAUUUCAUGGCCUCCAACAUGCUCUGUUGAUGAUUGAAUCCCUCCUCAGCACGAAUAUCAUUAUAGGCUGGGCAUUCCAAUAACACGUGUUUUUGGGUGAGGCCCCGGGCGCGAAGCGCCAUUCGGGGGGCC